UCAGUGAAAGCAACGGGAAGCCUCCGGAGCGCAGUGGGAGCAUUCCCACUGCGCUCCGGAGGCUUCCCGUUGCUUUCGCUGA